UACGUAGGGUGCAAGCGUUGUCCGGAUUUAUUGGGCGUAAAGAGCUCGUAGGCGGUCUGUCGCGUCGGAUGUGAAAGCCCCGGGCUCAACCUGGGAAUUGCAUUUGAGACUGCUCUGCUCGGGUGCGGAAGAGGGAAGCGGAAUUUCCGGUGUAGCGGUGAAAUGCGUAGAUAUCGGAAGGAACACCAGUGGCGAAAGCGGCUCACUGGCCCGGUACUGACGCUGAGGCGCGAAAGCGUGGGGAGCAAACAGG
rnacentral:rRNA from 1 species